UACGUAUGGUGCAAGCGUUAUCCGGAUUUACUGGGCGUAAAGGGAGCGCAGGCGGUGCGCCAAGUCUGAUGUGAAACCCCGGGGCUCAACCCCGGGCAUGCAUUGGAAACUGGCGGGCUGGAGUGCCGAAGAGGUAAGCGGAAUUCCUAGUGUAGCGGUGAAAUGCGUAGAUAUUAGGAGGAACACCAGUGGCGAAGGCGGCUUACUGGACGGCAACUGACGCUGAGGCUCGAAAGCGUGGGGAGCAAACAGG
rnacentral:rRNA from 1 species